rnacentral:rRNA from 1 species
GAGACCUCAGGUCAGGCAGGGCUACCCGCUGAAUU